GGAUCCAGACUUUGAUCAUGGCUCAGGAUGAACGCUAGCUACAGGCUUAACACAUGCAAGUCGAGGGGCAGCAUGAACUUAGCUUGCUAAGUUUGAUGGCGACCGGCGCACGGGUGAGUAACACGUAUCCAACCUUCCGUUUACUCAGGGAUAGCCUUUCGAAAGAAAGAUUAAUACCUGAUAGUAUGGUGAGAUUGCAUGAUAACACCAUUAAAGAUUUAUUGGUAAACGAUGGGGAUGCGUUCCAUUAGGUAGCAGGCGGGGUAACGGCCCACCUAGCCUGCGAUGGAUAGGGGUUCUGAGAGGAAGAUCCCCCACAUUGGAACUGAGACACGGUCCAAACUCCUACGGGAGGCAGCAGUGAGGAAUAUUGGUCAAUGGGCGAGAGCCUGAACCAGCCAAGUAGCGUGAAGGAUGAAGGUCCUACGGAUUGUAAACUUCUUUUAUACGGGAAUAAAGUUUCCUACGUGUAGGAUUUUGUAUGUACCGUAUGAAUAAGCAUCGGCUAACUCCGUGCCAGCAGCCGCGGUAAUACGGAGGAUGCGAGCGUUAUCCGGAUUUAUUGGGUUUAAAGGGAGCGCAGACGGGAGAUUAAGUCAGUUGUGAAAGUUUGCGGCUCAACCGUAAAAUUGCAGUUGAUACUGGUUUCCUUGAGUGCAGUUGAGGCAGGCGGAAUUCGUGGUGUAGCGGUGAAAUGCUUAGAUAUCACGAAGAACCCCGAUUGCGAAGGCAGCUUGCUAAACUGUAACUGACGUUCAUGCUCGAAAGUGUGGGUAUCAAACAGGAUUAGAUACCCUGGUAGUCCACACGGUAAACGAUGGAUACUCGCUGUUGGCGAUAUACUGCCAGCGGCCAAGCGAAGGCAUUAAGUAUCCCACCUGGGGAGUACGCCGGCAACGGUGCAACUCAAAUGAAUUGACGG
rnacentral:rRNA from 1 species